rnacentral:rRNA from 1 species
GACGAACGCUAGCGGCAGGCCUAAUACAUGCAAGUCGUACGGUAACAUGAGUAGCAAUACUUGAUGACGAGUGGCGCACGGGUGCGUAACGCGUAUGCAAUCUACCUUUAACUGGUGAAUAGCCCGAAGAAAUUCGGAUUAAUACACCAUAGUAUAUUUGAAUGGCAUCAUUUAAAUAUUAAAACUCCGGUGGUUAAAGAUGAGCAUGCGUGACAUUAGCUAGUUGGUGAGGUAAUGGCUCACCAAGGCUACGAUGUCUAGGGGAUCUGAGAGGAUUAACCCCCACACUGGUACUGAGACACGGACCAGACUCCUACGGGAGGCAGCAGUAAGGAAUAUUGGACAAUGGUCGAAAGACUGAUCCAGCCAUGCCGCGUGAAGGAUGACGGCCCUAUGGGUUGUAAACUUCUUUUGUAUGGGAAAAAACCCUUCUACGUGUAGAAGGCUGAUGGUACCAUAAGAAUAAGGAUCGGCUAACUCCGUGCCAGCCGCCGCGGUAA